UACGGAGGGGGCUAGCGUUGUUCGGAAUUACUGGGCGUAAAGCGCGCGUAGGCGGUCCUGCAAGUCGGGGGUGAAAGCCCGAGGCUCAACCUCGGAACUGCCUUCGAUACUGCGGGUCUCGAGUCCGGGAGAGGUGAGUGGAAUUCCUAGUGUAGAGGUGAAAUUCGUAGAUAUUAGGAAGAACACCAGUGGCGAAGGCGGCUCACUGGCCCGGUACUGACGCUGAGGCGCGAAAGCGUGGGGAGCAAACGGG
rnacentral:rRNA from 1 species